ACACAUCAACGUACACAAGUUUUCUAUGACUACUUGCUCUGCUGCUUGGAUGUUGAAGGCUUUGCUGGCAGUCAACCAUUGUCAGCUCCUUUUAAAUUCAUUAGCAGGAACUACGCAAAACUGGCUUCAGUUUGAUAAGAUUGAACUGCUGCCAAAGAUGCGGUUGUUUUCCAGCUUCUAACUGUCCAGUGCAUUAACUGGACUCCAGUGCAUUAACUGGAAAGGCUCAUUCAUUAACUGGACUCCAGUGCAUUAACUGGAAAGGCUCUUUCUUGAGCCAAAUGAAUGACAACACA
rnacentral:misc_RNA from 1 species